rnacentral:sRNA from 1 species
UUUUUAUUCUUCCCUUUUAUGGGUAUAAUCUGAAGUGGAAAGUUCAUUUCAUUUAAGUUUCAUUUCAAAGUCAUUUAGCUAUCCUCAUUGAAUAGAAAGCUUCUUCUCUCUCUGACAUUCAUUCGCGAAACUCUUCCCCUGUUGCUACUGCUUCUGCUGGUGCUACACCACCGAACCACUUCGCCGGGAAACCACACUUCAUUCGCGGAAGGUGUGUUCUGAUCAUAAUUUCCGGAAUUCGUGCAUUCAAGUUUUAAAAGAUGGCUGAUGGGGAGGACAUUCAACCUCUUGUUGUUGAU